GGGACGCCGCGCGCCCGGCACCCCGGGGCAGGCUCGCCAUGGCGAUGGGCGGCGGCGGCGGCGGCGGACCGGAGCAGGAGGACUCGGUGCUGUUCCGGCGCGGCACGGGCCAGAGUGAUGAUUCUGACAUUUGGGAUGAUACAGCAUUGAUAAAAGCUUAUGAUAAAGCUGUGGCUUCAUUUAAGCAUGCUCUAAAGAAUGGUGACAUUUCCGAAGCUUCAAAUAAACAAAAAGGCACACCUAAAAGAAAACCUGCGAAGAAGAAUAAAAACCAAAAAAAGAAUCCUACAACUCCCCUGAAGCAGUGGAAAGUUGGUGACAAAUGUUCUGCCAUUUGGUCAGAAGACGGCUGCAUUUACCCAGCUACCAUUGCUUCAGUUGAUUUUAGGAGAGAAACCUGUGUUGUGGUUUACACUGGAUAUGGAAAUAGAGAGGAGCAAAAUCUGUCUGAUCUACUUUCCCCAACCUCUGAAGUAGCUAAUAAUAUAGAACAGAAUGCUCCAGAGAAUGAAAGUGAAAGUCAAAUUUCAACAGAUGAAAGUGAGAACAACUCCAGGUCUCCUGGAAAUAAACCAAAUAACAUCAAAUCAAAAGCUGCUCCAUGGAACUCUUUUCUCCCUCCACCACCGCCCAUGCCAGCAGGACUGGGACCAGGAAAGCCAGGUCUAAAAUUCAAUGGCCCACCACCGCCACCACCACCACCACCCUUCCUCUCCUGCUGGCUGCCUCCCUUUCCUUCUGGACCACCAAUAAUUCCACCCCCACCUCCCAUAUGUCCAGAUUCUCUUGAUGAUGCUGAUGCUUUGGGAAGUAUGCUAAUCUCUUGGUACAUGAGUGGCUAUCAUACUGGUUACUAUAUGGGUUUCAAACAAAAUCAAAAAGAAGGAAGGUGCUCACACUUCAAUUAAGGAGUAAUUCGUGCAGUGUUCUUUAAUAGGUAAGUGCUUUUUCCUAAGUAUUUCUUGGAGAACAUUCCAUAUCAGUAUAUAAAACUAUCUUGUUUUAAACAGUUGCAGGAUAUUUUUAUAUGUAGAUAUGUACCAUACUUAAAUUUGAGUUCUUAUGGAUGGAAGUUUAGGUUGUUUCCAGUUGUUUGCUGUGUACUACUACAGUCAGUACCCUUUUACAUAAUUCUUUUGUAGAUGUAUGAAUACAUCUUUAGGAUUGUCUAAAUAGAAUCUAGAAUUCUAAUCUAGAAUUAGAUUCUAGAAUCAGAACUGCUGGAUUGAAGAGGGCAUGCAUUUAUAAUUUUAAUAAAUCUUGGCCAAAUUGAAACUCAAAGAAAACCUAAAAUUGGGUCCAGUGGACU